CCUACGGGAGGCAGCAGUAGGGAAUCUUUCACAAUGGGCGAAAGCCUGAUGGAGCAACGCCGCGUGCAGGAUGAAGGCCUUCUGGUUGUAAACUGCUUUUAUAAGCGAGAAAUAUGAUGGUAACUUAUGAAUAAGGAUCGGCUAACUACGUGCCAGCAGCCGCGGUCAUACGUAGGAUCCGAGCAUUAUCCGGAGUGACUGGGUGUAAAGAGUUGCGUAGGUGGCAUAAUAAGUAGCUAGUGAAAUCUGGUGGCUCAACCAUUCAGACUAUUAGCUAAACUGUUAAGCUCGAGACCGUUAGGGGUAACUGGAAUGUCUAGUGUAGGAGUGAAAUCCGUAGAUAUUAGAAGGAACACCAAUAGCGUAGGCAGGUUACUGGGACGGUUCUGACACUAAGGCACGAAAGCGUAGGGAGCAAACGGGAUUAGAUACCCUUGUAGUC
rnacentral:rRNA from 1 species